rnacentral:rRNA from 1 species
UACAGAGGGUGCAAGCGUUGUUCGGAAUUACUGGGCGUAAAGCGCGUGUAGGCUGCGGUGUAAGUCGGACGUGAAAGCCCUUGGCUUAACCAAGGAAGUGCAUCCGAUACUGCGUCGCUUGAGUGCCGGAGGGGGUGGCGGAAUUCCCGGUGUAGAGGUGAAAUUCGUAGAUAUCAGGAGGAACACCAGUGGCGAAGGCGGCUUUCUGGACGAUAACUGACGCUGAGACGCGAAAGCGUGGGGAGCAAACAGG